rnacentral:lncRNA from 1 species
GAGAUCUGCCCCAUAGAUCUGCCCCAUAGAUCUGCCCCAUAGCGCUGCCCCAUAGAUCUGCCCCAUAGCAGCACUGACAGAGAUCUGCCCCAUAGCUCUGCCCCAUAGAUCUGCCCCAUAGCCCUGCCCCAUAGCUCCCCCAUAGCCCUGCCCCAUAGCUGCCCCUUAGCUGCCCCAUAGCCCUGCCCCAUAGCUCCCCCAUAGCCCUGCCCCAUAGCUGCCCCAUAGCUCUCCCCGUAGCUGCCCCAUAGCUGCCCCAUAGCCCUGCCCCAUAGCUGCCCCAUAGCCCUGCCCCAUAGCUGCCCCAUAGCUGCCCCAUAGCGCUGUCCCCAAAGGCAGGAGCGCGCCUGGAGCCUGGAGGGGCUGCAGCUGCGGAUUCAGAGCCGAAACUUCGUGCGGUAUGGGGCCGGGGGGCUGGGGGGCAGGGAUGGGCGCUUGGGGGGCAGGGAUGGGCACUUAUGGGGCAGGGAUGUGCACUUAUGGGGCAGAGAUGGGCACUUAUGAGGCAGCACUGUCACUUAUGGGGCAGGGACGGGCACUUGGGGAGCACUUAUGGGGCAAGGGCUGUCACUUAUGGGGCAGGGACGGGCACUUAUGGGGCAGAGAUGGGCACUUAUGGGGCAGCACUGUCACUUAUGGAGCAGUGCUGUCACUUAUGGGGCCGGGAUGGGCACUUGGGGAGCACUUAUGGGGCAGCGCUGUCAGUUAUGGGGCAGAGACGUGUUGACGUGGUGCCACGCCGUCCCCCCCCCACCCAAGGGACCCUCCGACGCCCCCCUGCGCCCUGCUGCACCCAUGGACACUUAUGGGGCAGUGCUGUCACUUAUGGGGCAGGGAUGGCACUUAUGGGGCACUUAUGGGGCAGGGAUGGCACUUAUGGGGCAGCGCUGUCACUUAUGGGGCAGGGAUGGCACUUGGGGGGCACUUAUGGGGCAGAGACGUGGGUGCCACGCCGUUCUCCCCCCCCCCACCCAAGGGACCCUCCGACGCCCCCCUGCGCCCUGCUGCACCCCACGGCCGCCCCCCCCGCUCCGCUGCCGCCGCCCCCCGGCGCUGCCGCCGCUGUGGGUCUGGGGGCGGAGCUGCGCGCCGUCCCGGCGGCCGCUUUGGCUCCGUGUCUGCGGCCCCUCCCCAACCUCCCCGCGCGCCUCCACUCCGUCGCCAUAUCCACGCACCCCUGGGUGCUGCGGGGGGGG